UGGGGAGUGGUGAACAGCAAAUAGAAUUUUGAAAAUAGCAGUCUCAGCCCAAAAGUGCCUUACCAAGUAUUAUUUAUUUACCUCUUUUUAUAGAUGAAUAUCUGAUAACCGUUUAUAAUGAUUAGACACAUGGGUCCUGCAUGUUCCGGUAUUAUGUGAUCGUGGAAUUGAUGGUUAUACCCACCAUUGAUCAUGUUUUGACCAUCAUGCGCUUUCUGCGUUGGCAGUUUCAGAUAAACCGACUAUAUGUCGGUAAUAAUAGUAUGUCGAUCAUAUGUCCGUAGUCGAAGAAUCCGAAUGAGCAUCGGUCGGUAACUUUGAUA
rnacentral:lncRNA from 1 species